rnacentral:rRNA from 1 species
ACUGAACAUUGAGCCUUGAUGUGUAGGAUAGGUGGGAGGCUUUGAAGCGUGGACGCCAGUCUGCGUGGAGCCAACCUUGAAAUACCACCCUUUAAUGUUUGAUGUUCUAACGUUGGCCCCUUACCGGGGUUGCGGACAGUGUCUGGUGGGUAGUUUGACUGGGGCGGUCUCCUCACAAAGCGUAACGGAGGAGCACGAAGGUUAGCUAAUCCUGGUCGGACAUCAGGAGGUUAGUGCAAUGGCAUAAGCUAGCUUGACUGCGAGCGUGACGGCGCGAGCAGGUGCGAAAGCAGGUCAUAGUGAUCCGGUGGUUCUGAAUGGAAGGGCCAUCGCUCAACGGAUAAAAGGUACUC